rnacentral:rRNA from 1 species
AUUGAACGCUGGCGGCAGGCCUAACACAUGCAAGUCGAGCGGUAGAGAGGUGCUUGCACCUCUUGAGAGCGGCGGACGGGUGAGUAAUACCUAGGAAUCUGCCUGGUAGUGGGGGAUAACGUUCGGAAACGGACGCUAAUACCGCAUACGUCCUACGGGAGAAAGCAGGGGACCUUCGGGCCUUGCGCUAUCAGAUGAGCCUAGGUCGGAUUAGCUAGUUGGUGAGGUAAUGGCUCACCAAGGCUACGAUCCGUAACUGGUCUGAGAGGAUGAUCAGUCACACUGGAACUGAGACACGGUCCAGACUCCUACGGGAGGCAGCAGUGGGAAUAUUGGACAAUGGGCGAAAGCCUGAUCCAGCCAUGCCGCGUGUGUGAAGAAGGUCUUCGGAUUGUAAAGCACUUUAAGUUGGGAGGAAGGGCAUUAACCUAAUACGUUAGUGUUUUGACGUUACCGACAGAAUAAGACACCGGCUAACUCUGUGCCAGCAGCCGCGGUAAUC